AGAGUUUGAUUAUGGCUCAAGAUGAACGCUGGCGGCGUGCUUAACACAUGCAAGUCGAACGGGGUACCCUUGAAAGAGGCUUCGGCCAACAGAUAGGAAUACCUAGUGGCGGACGGGUGAGUAACGCGUGAGGAACCUGCCUUGGAGUGGGGAAUAACAGUUAGAAAUAGCUGCUAAUACCGCAUAAUGCAGUUGGGUCGCAUGACUCUGACUGCCAAAGAUUUAUCGCUCUGAGAUGGCCUCGCGUCUGAUUAGAUAGUUGGCGGGGUAACGGCCCACCAAGUCGACGAUCAGUAGCCGGACUGAGAGGUUGGCCGGCCACAUUGGGACUGAGACACGGCCCAGACUCCUACGGGAGGCAGCAGUGGGGAAUAUUGGGCAAUGGGCGCAAGCCUGACCCAGCAACGCCGCGUGAAGGAAGAAGGCCCUCGGGUUGUAAACUUCUUUUAACAGGGACGAAGAAAGUGACGGUACCUGUUGAAUAAGCCACGGCUAACUACGUGCCAGCAGCCGCGGUAAUACGUAUGUGGCAAGCGUUAUCCGGAUUUACUGGGUGUAAAGGGCGUG
rnacentral:rRNA from 1 species